UGGAUGCCCUAGCUUCACACAGGAGGU
rnacentral:piRNA from 1 species